GUGAACGCUGGCGGUAGGCCUAACACAUGCCAGUCGAACGGCAGCACAGUAAGAGCUUGCUCUUACGGGUGGCGAGUGGCGGACGGGUGAGGAAUACAUCGGAAUCUACUUUUUCGUGGGGGAUAACGUAGGGAAACUUACGCUAUACCGCAUACGACCUACGGGUGAAAGCAGGGGAUCUUCGGACCUUGCGCGAUUGAAUGAGCCGAUGUCGGAUUAGCUAGUUGGCGGGGUAAAGGCCCACCAAGGCGACGAUCCGUAGCUGGUCUGAGAGGAUGAUCAGCCACACUGGAACUGAGACACGGUCCAGACUCCUACGGGAGGCAGCAGUGGGGAAUAUUGGACAAUGGGCGCAAGCCUGAUCCAGCCAUACCGCGUGGGUGAAGAAGGCCUUCGGGUUGUAAAGCCCUUUUGUUGGGAAAGAAAAGCAGCAGGUUAAUACCCCGCUGUUCUGACGGUACCCAAAGAAUAAGCACCGGCUAACUUCGUG
rnacentral:rRNA from 1 species